GGGCCACAACGCAAAGUACCUAUCGUACAGUUUCUAUGAUGGGAAGCUGAACAAGGUUGUCCAUACAGUACAGGUUCAGUCAAAUGAAGUGGCAUCAAGCUACCACAUGGAGCUGGAAGCACUGCAGCGUGGCCUUGAAGAACUGCAUGAUUUCAACGUCGGUGUACGGUCUUUGACAACAGAUCGGCAUCCCAGUGUACGGAAAUACAUGCGUACAUCACACCCAGAGGUUAACCACCAGUUUGAUGUCUGGCACGUUUCCAAAGGCAUUCGAAAGAAGCUGAUGAGUGCCAGCAAAGGAAAAGGUUGCGAAGCACUUGAGCUAUGGUCAAAGCCU